AUACGGAGGGUGCAAACGUUGUUCGGAAUCACUGGGCGUAAAGGGCGCGCAGGCGGUUUGAUUAGUCAGAUGUGAAAGCCCACGGCUUAACCGUGGAAGUGCAUUUGAAACUGUCAGACUUGAGUACCAGAGGGGGUAGUGGAAUUCCCGGUGUAGAGGUAAAAUUCGUAGAUAUCGGGAGGAAUACCGGUGGCGAAGGCGACUACCUGGCUGGAUACUGACGCUGAGGCGCGAAAGCGUGGGGAGCAAACAGGAUUAGAAACCCCAGUAGUCC
rnacentral:rRNA from 1 species